UACGUAGGGGGCAAGCGUUGUCCGGAAUCAUUGGGCGUAAAGCGCGUGUAGGCGGCCCAGUAAGUCCGCUGUGAAAGCCCAGGGCUCAACCCUGGGAUGCCGGUGGAUACUGUUGGGCUCGAGUCCGGAAGAGGCGAGUGGAAUUCCCGGUGUAGCGGUGAAAUGCGCAGAUAUCGGGAGGAACACCAAUGGCGAAGGCAGCUCGCUGGGACGUGACUGACGCUGAGACGCGAAAGCGUGGGGAGCAAACAGG
rnacentral:rRNA from 1 species